GAUGAACGCUGGCGGCGUGCCUAAUACAUGCAAGUCGAGCGAACAGACGAGGAGCUUGCUCCUCUGACGUUAGCGGCGGACGGGUGAGUGACACGUGGAUAACAUACCUAUAAGACUGGGAUAACUUCGGGGAACCGGAGCUAAUAACGGAUAAUAUAUUGAACCGCAUGGUUCAAUAGUGAAAGACGGUUUUGCUGUCACUUAUAGAUGGAUCCGCGCCGCAUUAGCUAGUUGGUAAGGUAACGGCUUACCAAGGCAACGAUGCGUAGCCGACCUGAGAGGGUGAUCGGCCACACUGGAACUGAGACACGGUCCAGACUCCUACGGGAGGCAGCAGUAGGGAAUCUUGCGCAAUGGGCGAAAGCCUGAUGGAGCAACGCCGCGUGAGUGAUGAAGGUCUUCGGAUCGUAAAACUCUUUUAUUAGGGAAGAACAAAUGUGUAAUUAUCUAUGCACGUCUUGACGGUACCUAAUCAGAAAGCCACGGCUAACUACGUG
rnacentral:rRNA from 1 species